rnacentral:rRNA from 1 species
CCUACGGGUGGCAGCAGUGGGGAAUAUUGGACAAUGGGCGAAAGCCUGAUCCAGCCAUGCCGCGUGUGUGAAGAAGGCCUUCGGGUUGUAAAGCACUUUCAGUGGGGAAGAAAGCCUUGGGGCUAAUACCCUCGAGGAAGGACAUCACCCACAGAAGAAGCACCGGCUAACUCCGUGCCAGCAGCCGCGGUAAUACGGGGGGUGCGAGCGUUAAUCGGAAUUACUGGGCGUAAAGCGCGCGUAGGCGGUCUGAUAAGCCGGUUGUGAAAGCCCCGGGCUCAACCUGGGAACGGCAUCCGGAACUGUCAGGCUAGAGUGCAGGAGAGGAAGGUAGAAUUCCCGGUGUAGCGGUGAAAUGCGUAGAGAUCGGGAGGAAUACCAGUGGCGAAGGCGGCCUUCUGGACUGACACUGACGCUGAGGUGCGAAAGCGUGGGUAGCAAACAGGAUUAGAUACCCUAGUAGUC